AUGGCGACCGGCGCACGGGUGAGUAACGCGUAUCCAACCUGCCCUUUACUAUGGGACAGCCCGUCGAAAGGCGGAUUAAUACCGUAUGUUGUCAUGUUGAUGCAUAUUUUCAUGACCAAAGGCUUCGGCCGGUAAAGGAUGGGGAUGCGUCUGAUUAGCUUGCCGGCGGGGUAACGGCCCGCCGGGGCGACGAUCAGUAGGGGUUCCGAGAGGAAGGUCCCCCACAUUGGAACUGAGACACGGUCCAAACUCCUACGGAAGGCAGCAG
rnacentral:rRNA from 1 species